ensembl:lncRNA
GUCACCUGCUGCGAGGGGGAACAGAAUGGAGCGUUCCACAGCAAUUUCACUCCUGUGGUUUCCAGGGAAGAGCCUUAGGAGAAUGUGUUAAUCAGCCAGCAAGCAGAGAGGGAACAAGGUGUGCCAUGGGCAGGACAUUGUGGCUCAAUGAGCCAUAGCUCGGGGGACGACGACGACACUUGGAAGCUUUUUGACUGUCCUUGAGAAUGAGGGGCUGAUGAUCGUCUAAAUAUCCAUUUUACCAGCCAUCUCCCACAGGGUGACAUGUCAGUUCUGGAGAGCUUGACAGGGACAAGAGGGGAAUACUGAUGUGGUCAUCAAACGUCUUAUGCGACACUGCGCUAUGAUUACAGCUGUGGGGGAGUUAUUGAGACACAUGAAUGGAGCUGCAGAGCCCGUCAGUGUACUAUAGUUUCAUGGGGCUCCCAUCGCUGCUCCAGCUUAGUAAACCUGUCAGCCGACUGGUCUCUAACCUAAGUUAGAGGUCAGCCUCUCUCUCCCCUGAGGGUUGAACUGCAAAUGGCUUCCAUCUCCGUCCCUCUGCUCACUGGAUAGGCCAUAAAGUAUGUAAAUAGUGGACUGGAGCAGCUGUAAAUAUCCAGUCAUGAACCUGCCUCAGCUUUCCAUUAGGUGAGACACAAAUCUCUAUUGAAGGGACAAAGGUAGGAAAAAGAGCACUAUUAGUCCCCUAUAAUAAGUUAGUGGAUGUGGGUUCAUCUAUAGGCUACUACAUCAAAAAUGGCAGCCUAAUUCCCUAUAUAGUGCACUUAAUUUGUCCAGUUGAAAGUGAUUGCAGUAUAUAGAUAACAGGUAUCUUUUUAGACACACACCCUGGCAAAGGACUC